rnacentral:rRNA from 1 species
UACGUAGGUGGCAAGCGUUGUCCGGAUUUACUGGGCGUAAAGAGCGCGCAGGCGGUCGUUUAAGUCGAAUGUGAAAGCCCCCGGCUCAACUGGGGAGGGUCAUUCGAUACUGAUCGACUUGAAGGCAGGAGAGGGAAGUGGAAUUCCAGGUGUAGCGGUGAAAUGCGCAGAUAUCGGGAGGAACACCAAUGGCGAAGGCAGCUCGCUGGGACGUGACUGACACUGAGACGCGAAAGCGUGGGGAGCAAACAGG